UUGCGAUGGCCGUGUUAGGAGGAAGGAGCGGGGCCAUCAGAAGCUCGGUGUGGUGCAAGACUGGUGGCAGGGAGGUGUGGAGAAGAGCUGGUGGUUGCCUUUGCGAGGUGCUGCUACUGGGCUCCAUGGGGAGCCGCCGCCGGCAAUCUCCUGUUCCCAGCCACCAUUCCGUGUCGUAGCAGGACGCCACCCCAACAAGCUUCUCCCGGAUAUAUCCAGGAGGAGGGCUAGAUGGCAGCAAGAAACCUGCAGCCUGAUGCAUCAUCGAUCAGGGUGUAAGCUGGAAGGGCCAAGGGAGAAGUAACCGUCUUAUACAUGCCUUGCUCUGUGCAUCAGCGUUUUUUUUGUUACUCUGGUUGUAAUGCAGCGCUAGUGAGGUUUCAGAUUCUGAAGAAUCUUGUAUUGCAUCAUGUCGGUGUUGUAUGUAACCCUCCUACGAUGUGAUUGCGGAAAGGUGUGCUGCUGUGCAUCAGCUAUUCUUUGAUGCUGAUUGCUGGGCAGUUUUCCGGUGGAUUAGAGUUGUGGUGGAGUUUGUAUGUCUCGUGGGCUACUUAUUGCCUUGAACGGAAGUAUGCUAUUUGCUGUUCUGGUUUGGAUGUCCAAAUACAAGGCAAGGUCGUGCCAAAAAUUUAAGUGACCCCUGCCAUUUUCUUCA